UGACAAAUUUGUUUUGAGCAUAAAUAAGAAGUUCGUUGCUUUUGUUACAUUAAUUUUGCUUGAAAUUUACUUCAUUCAAUAUGUAAACAAAAAACAUAGCACGAGCCUUGUUUGCAUAACGAAGAAUUGUGAGCUCAGUAUCUCGCUGAAAUAUCUCGACGACUGACACACACCUCACAGCCUUAUUAGCAUAAUCGGAACCUUUCUGGUUUUUAUAUUCACGAAAGAAUGAAAAAAUCCGAGAAAGUCAAAACUUCGUAUAUCUCGGGAUUUUAACGAGACCAGUCUCAUACUCGUGAAAAUCGAGAGAGGAGUUUAAAUGGAAAAGGUAAGUAAAAGUUUUUGUUUCUUAUAUCGGCAAGCUUUUAAAUUAUUUAAAGUUGCUGAACAAUUGUUUUUAAUGUGAAGUCGAAGUUUGGGGUGAUUAGCCUUAUCUCGUAUAAUAUUGUUCAGCAUGAAACAGUCUGAACAGCAAUCCUCGAUUUAGUCAACAAUCUAAAACGUGCUAAGGAGUAGUCAUUCGUCGAUUUACCUGCGGCUUCCAGAUGAUCUGAAGAUCGGGAAUAUAGAAAAUAUUGUCAAUUUGAUAUUGCUUAUGACCCAGUCAUGUCUGCUGAAGCCCAGAAGUUUCCAGACCAUGACAUUAAUGAAUAUUUUUUGAAUGGAAUGCAUGAGGAUUAGAAUAGAACCUUAUUCUGCCUUUUUACCAACUCACACCAUCUUUUCAAGAUUUAUGGAGCCAACCACAGAAGAAUUUGUUCUAUACACAUCAUUCAUAACAUUCUUAUUUAUGUUGCAUAACUUUAAAUGUUACUGGAUGAAUUGUGUUCACAUAAUGAAUACCAGCAAACUUUUUAUCGAGUGCACUUAAUUUGUAUUUUUCCUACCCAUCCAUCUAACAUAUGUUUUUAUAUAACAUAUUCAUAUACAUGUAACAUUUUUGGAAACAGCCAUUUUUUUUAAAAUUGGAAUUUAGCCUUACUAUUUUAUACAAUUUUUUUUUUAAUAUACUCUUUUGUAUACAAACAGAACAAAAAUACUUAGUUACAAUGGGAAAUGGACAUAAUAUAUAUAAAAGUGUCUGAUAAAAGUAUAGGUCUUGUUCAUGAACAGAAGAAAUCGACAGAAAAAUAUUCAGUUUUAGCCAUGAAAUACAAAUAUUAAUAUUUUUUAAGAAUAUUAUUUAAUCUAAAUAAGUUAUAAAAGGUUUUUUUCCUUUAUUCCAAUGUUUGGAAACAAAUCCGAUAUAUAAUUAAAAUUGCUGUACAGUAUAUCUUAUUGAUUCCUAUAAUAUAUCACUUUAGUUUCUUGAACAGCAUGUUUAUUACUUAUUUUCUUAAAAUGAUGUAUACAAGGUCAUUAAUUUAUUUUCAUUAUAUUCAACUAGAUACAAAUAGGCCUUCUGCAACCUUUUCAUUGUUUAAAUGGUAUGGAGUUUUAAUUACCUUUCAUAUGAAAAAUGACAUCUAAAUCUUAAAUUGCUGUACAUUAUAUCCUAUCCAUCUAAUGUAUCACUUUAUUUAUGUUGAACUAUGUGACUAUUAGUAUUAUGAUUUUUUUUUUAGAAUGAUAUAUGCAAUUUCAUUAAUUUAUUUUUCAUUUUAAGAAAAUUCAUUUUAAAAAAGAUCUCUUGCGACCUGUGUAUUUUUUUCAGUUUACAUAACACAGUGUAUUAAUUGAAUGUAGUUGUGUAGAUUUAUACAUGUACCUACAAGCAAUAUACAGUUAAUAUUCACGAGGUACAUGUACCAGCCUACUAUAUUUGAUAAAUAAAUGUACUUCUUUCAUGCCUUUUUCAUGCCUUUUACUCAUUGUUAUAUGUAUUAUUUAUAAUUGAAAUACUUCGAAAACUUUUCUCAAUUUAUUUAUUUUAAUAAGAUUAAGAAACGGACUAUAGUUAAUGCACGUUUUCAAGAGUUGUCUCUCUUGGGGACAAUAAUGAAUGCUCCCCAGGGUUCAUGACCCUGAAUAUUGAGUAGGCUGUGA